rnacentral:rRNA from 1 species
GACGAACGCUGGCGGCGUGCUUAACACAUGCAAGUCGAACGGAAAGGCCCUGCUUUUGUGGGGUGCUCGAGUGGCGAACGGGUGAGUAACACGUGAGUAACCUGCCCUUGACUUUGGGAUAACUUCAGGAAACUGGGGCUAAUACCGGAUAGGAGCUCCUGCUGCAUGGUGGGGGUUGGAAAGUUUCGGCGGUUGGGGAUGGACUCGCGGCUUAUCAGCUUGUUGGUGGGGUAGUGGCUUACCAAGGGUUUGACGGGUAGCCGGCCUGAGAGGGUGACCGGCCACAUUGGUACUGAGAUACGGCCCAGACUCCUACGGGAGGCAGCAGUGGGGAAUAUUGCACAAUGGGCGGAAGCCUGAGGCAGCAACGCCGCGUGCGGGAUGACGGCCUUCGUGUUGUAAACCGCUGUCGCCUGUUACGAAGCGUGAGUGACGGUAAUGGGUAAAGAAGCACCGGCUAACUACGUG